rnacentral:rRNA from 1 species
CCUGACUGCUAUCGGGGUGGGUAGCCAUGCGAGUCUGCGUCACGGGCAACGUGACGCGGCGCACGGCUCAGUAAAACAUGCUCAAACUGCCCUACAGACCGGGAUAACCUCUGGAAACGGAGGAUAAUCCCGGAUAGGUAAGAACUCUUGGAAUAGGUUCUUACCGAAAGGGUGCGGCGCUGAUGCCGCAUCGCACCGCUGUAGGAUGUGAGCAUGGCCUAUCAGGUUGAUGGUGAGGUAACGGCUCACCAUGCCUAAGACGGGUACGGGCCGUGAUAGCGGGAGCCCGGAGAUGGGUUCUGAGACAAGAACCCAGGCCCUACGGGGCGCAGCAGGCGCGAAACUUCUGCAAUGCGCGAAAGCGCGACAGAGUCACCCCGAGUGCCAUCCGCUGAGGAUGGCUUUUGCCCUGUGUAAAAAGCAGGGCGAAUAAGCGGGGGGCAAGUUCUGGUGUCAGCCGCCGCGGUAAUACCAGCCCCGCGAGUGGUCAGGACGAUUAUUAAGCCUAAAGCGUCCGUAGCCGGCCUUGUAAGUUCUCCCUUAAAUGGUAUGGCUCAACCAUACCGUUGGGGAGAAUACUGCAAGGCUAGGGGGCGGGAGAGGCGGGUGGUACUUUGAGGGGUAGUGGCAAAAUACGAUAAUCCCUCAAGGACCACCAGUGGCGGAGGCGACCCGCUAGAACGCGCCCACGGUGAGGAACAAAGCUGGGGGGAGCAAAAGGGAUUAAAGACCCCUGUAGUCCCAGCUGUAAACUAUGCCGGGCUAAAUGGUUGGGGUGAGGUUAUCCUC